AUUGAACGCUGGCGGCAGGCCUAACACAUGCAAGACGAACGAGUGGCGGACGGGUGAGUAAUGUCUGGGCCACUGCCUGAUGGAGGGGGAUAACUACUGGAAGCGGUAGCUAAUAACGCAUACCAUCGGAUGUGCCGAGCUGGGAUUAGCUAGUGGGUGGGGUAACGGCUUACCUAGGCGACGAUCCCUAGCUGGUCUGAGAGGAUGACCAGCCACACUGGAACUGAGACACGGUCCAGACUCCUACGGGAGGCAGCAGUGGGGAAUAUUGCACAAUGGGCGCAAGCCUGAUGCAGCCAUGCCGCGUGUAUGAAGAAGGCCUUCGGGUUGUAAAGUACUUUCAGCGGGGAGGCGUUACCCGCAGAAUAAGCACCGGCUAACUCCGUGCCAGCAGCCGCGGUAAUUC
rnacentral:rRNA from 1 species